GCUGGCAAAAUGGCUCAGUGGGUUAGAGCACUGACUACUCUUCCAAAGGUCCUGAGUUCUAAUCCCAGCGGUAGCU
rnacentral:tRNA from 1 species